GUCUACAGCCAUGACACUCUGAACAAGCCCAAUCCCGUCUGAUCUCGGAAGCUAAGCAGGGUUGGGCCUGGUUAGCACUCGGAUGGGAGACCACCAAGGAAGACCAAGUGCUGUAGGCA
rnacentral:rRNA from 1 species